rnacentral:rRNA from 1 species
CCUACGGGGGGCAGCAGUGAGGAAUAUUGGUCAAUGGGCGUAAGCCUGAACCCGCCAAGUCGCGUGCGGGAUGAAGGUUCUAUGGAUCGUAACCCUCUUUUAUAAGGGCAUAAAGUGUGGGACGUGUCCUAUUUUGUAUGUACCUUAUGACUAAGGAUCGGCUAACUCCGUGCCAGCAGCCGCGUUAAUCCGGAGGAUCCGAGCGUUAUCCGGAUUUAUUGGGUUUAAAGGGUGCGUAGGCGGCCUUUUAAGUCAGCGGUGAAAGUCUGUGGCUCAACCAUAGAAUUGCCGUUGAAAUUGGGGGGCUUGAGAAUGUUUGAGGCAGGCGGAAUGCGUGGUGUAGCGGUGAAAUGCUUAGAUAUCACGCAGAACACCGAUUGCGAAGGCAGCCUGCCAAGCCAUGACUGACGCUGAUGCACGAAAGCGUGGGGAUCAAACAGGAUUAGAUACCCCAGUAGUC